rnacentral:rRNA from 1 species
CCAAGGAGCCCAGCAUCUGCGCGAGUCGCUCGGUCUUGAAUAGGCCCGAGAGGCGAAAUAAACAUAAUGGUAUGAUCCUUUGAUAUCUUUCGAGAUUAAAAGGCGCAAUACCAACCUGCUUUAUUGCUUGCGAUAAGGUGGCGUUUGAGCGUAGAUGCUGGUACCCGAAAGAUGGUGAACUAUACUUGGGCAAGACGAAGCCAGAGGAAACUCUGGUGGAGGUCUGUAGCGAUUCUGACGUGCAAAUCGAUCGUCAGACCUGAGUAUAGGGGCGAAAGACUAAUCGAACCAUC